UUCUCUGUGUGUCAAAAUUCAAAACACACUCUCUCUUUCCUUUUUCGCCCUAUUUUCUCAGUACAAGUUUUGUUUGAUUUAUGAAUCUAUGAUUUCAUUAUUAUUAUUUUCAUCAGCGAUUGUUCAGUUUUUUGUUCAGUGAUUUUCUCGCUCUAUCUGUUUUUGGUGCACUGAUUGUUCAGUUUUUACGGAUUAAGAUGCAGUCAAGAAAAUCAAUGUAAAAAUUAGUAGUUGAUUCUCGCCUUCUAUGGGUUCUAAUAAGAUCUUGUAAUAUUGUUGCAAUUUAGGGUAUUAGGUUUAGGCAAAAUUAGCGUUCUCUGUGUUCACCAAAUUCUAGGGUUUUUACCUUUCCGUCUCAGUCAUCAACUGUUGCUGAGUUGGUUUCCGAUAUUGUAUAUGCUCUGCUCAGUGUGAUUUUUUUUGGUGAUUUUUCUCUUGAGACUCAAUUUUACUUAAAUCUCUAAAAUUAUUGAUUUUUUUUUUGUGUAUUGUGUUCAAGGUUCAAUACUAAUUUUUAUUGAUUUUUUUAUUGCAACGAAUGAAAUGCAGAUAGAGUGGAUUGCAACUCAGAUGCUGAAAGUCGAUUCGAUUCUUACGUUGAUUUCGGCCUUGGUACAUCAGAUAUUCGGAGAUGUAAUGCUUGGAGAUUUGAUUGGAAAAAGGGUUUUAAAGUAAUGGUUGUAGCAGCACCAUGACAACUUAAUUUUGCUGUAGCGUUUCGAGAAAUUGGGCAGAUUGGUGAAUGCACAAAUGGAAAAAAUAUAGGAUUUCAAGCUUAUCGUUCAGGUUUAUAGUUGAGCUUUAAAUCCGGAUCUCGCAGAUGGACAAUGAAUACCAACUCUGAUAAUGACGGUAAGAGCGAGAGAGGCGAAGAAGUCCACAAAACUUGGAAUGUGUUUUCUGUGUUCAUGUCAUGCCAGGUCUCUUUUCAAAUGUGGACCAACCAAAUGCAGGACACCUUAAACUCAAAGAAGAAAGGCGAUGCUGCUUACCGAAAAAAAUUAUUCGAAGCUGCAAUUGAGUGCUGCACACAGGGACUGUGGUUUGUCCUACAGUUUGUGCAUAAUGGUGUCUAUGUUAUCGCCUAAGUGACAUGCAAUAAGAACCGAUCUUAAAGAUGCAACCACUCCUCAAAAGAUCAAAACACCAAACGGUCAACAGUCUCAGAUGUUUGAAGUGAAAAACGAAAACUUAAGAGAACAAGACAGUUCACCAGGAGAUUUAAAUAUUUGUUCCUUUCAAAGGUUGUAAACUUUGAUCCAAGAUCAUGACAUCAAUUUGAGAUCAAGUAAGUAACUCUCUCUUACACCAAAUAUUUACAGAAUCACGUAAAAAAGCAGGAGAGUAGAUUAUUGUUUUGUAGUCGCCUAUGUUGUGUGUGGUGUAAUUAAAAUCUUUAUAGACUUUGUCUUUUAAGUGUGGUGAAUUUCUUACUCUACAUCUUUGUUAUGUACUUACUGUAAUGUGCAAAAGAAUUUAAUUGAGUAGUUCAUAGGAUUGUAAUAUGCAUGGAUGUUGUUUUGAUUCUCAAAUUAAAA